AUGAUUUAAGAGUUAGAUCAGAUAUAUUAUUGUGUAAAUUUUUUUAUCAUUUAGUAGAAGAAGAAAAUAAUGAAUAUAUAUAUUGUACCACUCUAAAAAAUGAUAUAACUUUAGUACAAAAAUUAGCCUUCAUAUAUUUCUGUUUGCCCUUCAUAUUAUAUCAAAUAUGAAGCCUUUUUUGUACAUGGCUAUAGGAGUUUAUUUAGAAAUAUAUACUAUGUACCAAACAUCUGAACAUAGCCCCAAUACAAACAUUUGCAUUAGUAAACGGAGAGGACUAAGUUCAAAAAGUAAAAAAAAAACAAAAGAAACAACAACUAUGAAUAAUACAGUAGAUCCAAAAGGUAUAAAAAUUGUUAGAAAAGGAACAUUAAUCUGAGUAACCCA
rnacentral:lncRNA from 1 species